rnacentral:sRNA from 1 species
UACACCUUGGGAGAAGGACAAGGAGAAGGAGAAGGAGAAGGAGAAGGAGGACGAAGAA